rnacentral:misc_RNA from 1 species
AUUUCCCCAAUGGGUUCUCCGGAUUUCUGGAGACUUGUAGGGGUUGUGGGAUUUUUGAUGUGUCGUCUCCGGACGGGCGGUGCAGGGUAGUCGAGUUAGACUUGGUGGAAUUCCGUCGAUAGGAGUUCCGUCGAGUCUGGUCGGCUGUGUGUUGGACGGUGCAGGGUAGGCUGCUUGGACAUGGUCGGUUCGAGGAUCGAUUCGAGGGCCGGCCUGUCGAUGAUGUGUGAUGUAUGCGGUCUAGGGUAGGCUGGUUUGUCUUGGUUCAAUUUGAUGUCGGCUCCCGUGCAGGCCAGAGUGAGUGGGGUCCAGGGUAGGUACAGGGUAGGCAGCUUAGAUUUGGUCGAUCUGGAGGUCGAUUCUCCGGCUGGCGGAUCUGACACUGUUGAAACGAGAUGCGAGCGGUGUAGGGUAGGCUAGUUUCGUCCUCGCCAGGUUGCGAUUUGGACGAGAUAUGUGGUUUAGGGUAGGCUCUAGGGUAAGUAGAAUUCGAGCUUCGUCGCCGACAGUUUUCUGUGGGUGUAUGGUAGGUACAGGGUAGGCAAAUCUCUCUCCGGCCAGUACUUGUCUGGUGGUCGUGAGUCGAUUUUUUUGUUUU